rnacentral:rRNA from 1 species
GUGAGUCAUCGAAUCUUUGAACGCACCUUGCGCUCCUUGGUAUUCCGAGGAGCAUGCCUGUUUGAGUGUCAUUAAUAUAUAUAUCAACCUUCACUUGUUGAAUGGUUUGGAUGUGGGGGUUUGCUGGACUCUUGAAGGGUUCAGCUCCUCUGAAAUGCAUUAGCAGAACAAUCUGUUCAUUGGUGUGAUAACUAUCUACGCUCUUGAAUAAGAUGCAGUUCAGCUUUCUAACUGUCCUUGGACAAUUUAUCAUUUAUGUGACCUCAAAUCAGGUAGGACUACCCGCUGAACUUAAGCAUAUCAAUAAGCGGAGG